AUGAAAACCAAUGGAUCAUCUGCCAAGAGUCAGGAAAUCGGGUCAAAAAGAAAGUGGAAGAACCAACAUGAACAUACAGCGAAGCAGAUCGCAUGGCAUUCCUUUGGGUACCAAGGCCACUAUCCGCAACAGAGGCCUGCACGGGAUGGUGCUUCACUCACCCCCUUGCCAGGGAGGCAAAAUGAUUUCCAUGUUUCAGGAGAUCGAUUCUUUCUGACGUCCAGCCCAUACCAACAAGAUCUGGAAAGUAGGUACAUCCAGGACAAAAUGAACGGUGUAAUCACUUGUUUGGUCUGUGGCAGCCAAGGACAUUACAGUUCUGAGUGCCAUUUCAAGGACCAAGAGCACAAAAUCAUUUGCGCAGUCUGUAGCAAAAAUGGCCACUGUAGCAUGUGGUGUUGCCAGCAGAACAAGUUGGAGAAUCGCGCUUGCACCCGCUGUGGAGAGAUAGGGCAUACUACCAGUACACAUGGUCUCGGUUGCUCAAGCUGUGACGAGUAUCAUGACGAUGGAGAGUGCCGUUUAAGCCAAGUUAAAUGCUUUAUCUGUGAAUGUCAAGAUCAUUAUCUUGCUCAGUGCCCCUUGAAUUCAGUAUUGACUGAGGCAUUUCAGGGUCAGAGACGGAACUUCCAAGCCGCUCUGCGGCUUGCACUAUCAAAACAACGCAACCCAUCAUCUACACCUGCCAAGUAUUACGCAAAAUCAGAAGGAGAAGUACUGACCGCCAACAAGUCUAGUCCAAUUUGCUUUACAUGCCGUGAAGAAGGUCACUAUGCCUGUAUGUGUCCGCAGAAGCUCGGAGCUAUAUCUGGCAACACGUCAAAAGAAUUAGAAGAGAGCAGCACUAUACCUACAUCCUCCAACAUGUCCAAAGUAUUGGAAGAACAGGGCCCUGGUACUGCUAAACAUUCAUCAGACAUGAAGUGGGUUGUUCGAUGUGUUAGCUGUGGUCAGGAAGGGCACAGGGCCAGGAGCUGUCCAACACGAGUGUUUAUAUGCUCCUUAUGCAAUGAAGAAGGCCACAAAGCCAAGAAAUGCCCUCAGAAGGGCCAGAAAUCAUCAGAAAUGAAGCGUAAAUCGAAUGUCCGAUGUGUAAGGUGUGGCUUGGAAGGGCACAGGCGCAAAACAUCAAUCAUAGACCGUCCGCAAGUCUAG
rnacentral:rRNA from 1 species